UCCCUGCCAAAUAACCCCCAGCUGCC
rnacentral:piRNA from 1 species